rnacentral:rRNA from 1 species
GACGAACGCUGGCGGCGUGCUUAACACAUGCAAGUCGAACGGAGUGGCGAACGGGUGAGUAACACGUGAGUAACUGCCCCCUUCUUCUGGAUAACUGCUUGAAAGGGUAGCUAAUACGGGAUAGUGGGGGAUGACUCGCGUCCUAUCAGCUUGUUGGUGGGGUAGUGGCCUACCAAGGCGACGACGGGUAGCCGGCCGGAGAGGGCGACCGGCCACAUUGGGCUGAGAUACGGCCCAAACUCCUACGGGAGGCAGCAGUGGGGAAUAUUGCACAAUGGGGGAAACCCUGAUGCAGCAACGCGCGUGCGGGAUGACGGCCUUCGGGUUGUAAACCGCUUUCAGCCAUGACGCGGUAGUGGCAGAAGAAGCACCGGCUAACUACGUGCCAGCCGCCGCGGUAAUUC